rnacentral:rRNA from 1 species
CAGCAGCCGCGGUAAUACGAAGGGUGCAAGCGCUAAUCGGAAUUACUGGGCGUAAAGCGUGCGUAGGCGGUGAGUUAAGUCUGCUGUGAAAUCCCCGGGCUCAACCUGGGAAUGGCAAUGGAUACUGGCAAGCUAGAGUGUGUCAGAGGAUGGUGGAAUUCCCGGUGUAGCGGUGAAAUGCGUAGAGAUCGGGAGGAACAUCAGUGGCGAAGGCGGCCAUCUGGGACAACACUGACGCUGAGGCACGAAAGCGUGGGGAGCAAACAGGAUUAGAUACCCCAGUAGUCCCUGUCUCUUAUAA